CUCGGUGGCCUCACUCAUGGUGGGUGAUGGGCUGAGAAUUCCAUGGGACACCAAGAUGGCUCCCGUCUGGAUCUACCAAGUGGUUCUGCCUACAAAGGACUCCUCACUGGACCAACUUCCUCCAAUAAGGACGAAGUCAGAGUAGAGCAUCAGGUACAAAUAUUCUAAGGCUUGAGGAAGCAUGGAGAGCUCCAGGAAAAGAGAAGGCAGAUGAUGGCCGGUAAGGACACUGCAGGUGUCCCAGAAAAACAAAAAUAAAUAAACAAACAGCCACCGUGAACUUACUGUUAAAGAAUCACUUGGGCUGUAGUUAGUUUGCUUGCUUGUCUUGGUGUGGAAUAAUCUGGUUAUUUCUUUGCCUGUGAUUAGAGGACCCAGCCUCCAUGAACUGAAAAAUUAUCCCAAAGGAUCUCUUUCCACAUUCUUUCCAUAAAAGGAACCCAGUUUCUGGUCCAAGGGAAUUUUCUGUAAAUGCAAGAAGGAAGAGAAGGGGAAGGGGAAGGGAAAGCGAAAAGGGAAGUAGGGAU
rnacentral:lncRNA from 1 species